GCCGGAGUAGCUCAGUUGGUUAGAGCAGCGGAAUCAUAAUCCGCGUGUCGGGAGUUCGAGUCUCUCCUCCGGCA
rnacentral:tRNA from 1 species